ACAGCAGCAGCCGCGGGAAAACGUAGGUGGCAAGCGUUGUCCGGAAUUAUUGGGCGUAAAGGGCUCGCAGGCGGUUUCUUAAGUCUGAUGUGAAAGCCCCCGGCUCAACCGGGGAGGGUCAUUGGAAACUGGGAAACUUGAGUGCAGAAGAGGAGAGUGGAAUUCCACGUGUAGCGGUGAGAUGCGUAGAGAUGUGGAGGAACACCAGUGGCGAAGGCGACUCUCUGGUCUGUAACUGACGCUGAGGAGCGAAAGCGUGGGGAGCGAACAGGAUUAGAUACCCCAGUAGUCCCUGUCUCUUAUAC
rnacentral:rRNA from 1 species